rnacentral:rRNA from 1 species
GACGAACGCUGGCGGCGUGCCUAAUACAUGCAAGUUGAGCGCUGAAGGUUGGUCCUUGUACCAACUGGAUGAGCAGCGAACGGGUGAGUAACGCGUGGGGAAUCUGCCUUUAAGCGGGGGACAACAUUUGGAAACGAAUGCUAAUACCGCAUAAAAACUUUAAACACAAGUUUUAAGUUUGAAAGAUGCACUUGCAUCACUCAAAGAUGAUCCCGCGUUGUAUUAGCUAGUUGGUGAGGUAAAGGCUCACCAAGGCGAUGAUACAUAGCCGACCUGAGAGGGUGAUCGGCCACAUUGGGACUGAGACACGGCCCAAACUCCUACGGGAGGCAGCAGUAGGGAAUCUUCGGCAAUGGACGAAAGUCUGACCGAGCAACGCCGCGUGAGUGAAGAAGGUUUUCGGAUCGUAAAACUCUGUUGGUAGAGAAGAACGUUGGUGAGAGUGGAAAGCUCAUCAAGUGACGGUAACUACCCAGAAAGGGACGGCUAACUACGUG